CCCUUAGAUGUUCUGGGCCGCACACGCGCUACACUGAAGGAGGCAGCGUGUACUCCUGGAUCGAAAGAUUUGGGUAACCCGCGAAUCUCCUUCGUGCUAGGGAUUGAGGUUUGCAAUUAUCCUUCAUGAACGAGGAAUUCCCAGUAAGUGCAAGUCAUAAGCUUGCGCUGACUACGUCCCUGCCCUUUGUACACACCGCCCGUCGCUACUACCGAUUGAAUGAUUUAGUGAGGACUUCGGACUGGGACCGAUGCGGCUUUUGGGCUGCGUCGGUAUUCUGGAAAGAUGUCCAAACUGUAUCAUUUAGAGGAAGUAAAAGUCGUAACA
rnacentral:rRNA from 1 species